rnacentral:rRNA from 1 species
UACGUAGGGUGCAAGCGUUAUCCGGAAUUAUUGGGCGUAAAGCGCGCGCAGGCGGUCCUUUAAGUCUGAUGUGAAAGCCCACGGCUCAACCGUGGAGGGUCAUUGGAAACUGGGGGACUUGAGUACAGAAGAGAAGAGUGGAAUUCCACGUGUAGCGGUGAAAUGCGUAGAGAUGUGGAGGAACACCAGUGGCGAAGGCGACUCUUUGGUCUGUAACUGACGCUGAGGCGCGGCAGCGUGGGGAGCAAACAGG